GAUGAACGCUGGCGGCGUGCCUAAUACAUGCCAGUCGAGCGAACAGAUGAGGAGCUUGCUCCUCUGACGUUAGCGGCGGACGGGUGAGUAACACGUGGAUAACCUACCUAUAAGACUGUGAUAACUUCGGGAAACCGGAGCUAAUACCGGAUAAUAUAUUGAACCGCAUGGUUCAAUAGUGAAAGACGGUUUUGCUGUCACUUAUAGAUGGAUCCGCGCCGCAUUAGCUAGUUGGUAAGGUAACGGCUUACCAAGGCAACGAUGCGUAGCCGACCUGAGAGGGUGAUCGGCCACACUGGAACUGAGACACGGUCCAGACUCCUACGGGAGGCAGCAGUAGGGAAUCUUCCGCAAUGGGCGAAAGCCUGACGGAGCAACGCCGCGUGAGUGAUGAAGGUCUUCGGAUCGUAAAACUCUGUUAUUAGGGAAGAACAAAUGUGUAAGUAACUAUGCACGUCUUGACGGUACCUAAUCAGAAAGCCACGGCUAACUACGUG
rnacentral:rRNA from 1 species